rnacentral:rRNA from 1 species
CGCCCUUGGCGGGCUGGCCUUUUCCCAUGCCAGUCGAACGGUAACAGGGUGCUUGCACCGCUGACGAGUGGCGAACGGGUGAGUAAUGCAUCGGAAUGUACCGUGUAGUGGGGGAUAGCUCGGCGAAAGCCGGAUUAAUACCGCAUACGCCCUGAGGGGGAAAGUGGGGGACCGUAAGGCCUCACGUUAUACGAGCAGCCGAUGUCUGAUUAGCUAGUUGGUGGGGUAAAGGCUCACCAAGGCGACGAUCAGUAGCGGGUCUGAGAGGAUGAUCCGCCACACUGGGACUGAGACACGGCCCAGACUCCUACGGGAGGCAGCAGUGGGGAAUUUUGGACAAUGGGCGCAAGCCUGAUCCAGCCAUGCCGCGUGUCUGAAGAAGGCCUUCGGGUUGUAAAGGACUUUUGUCCGGGAGCAAAUCCCAGUGGUUAAUACCUACUGGGGCUGAGAGUACCGGAAGAAUAAGCACCGGCUAACUACGUGCCAGCAGCCGCGGUAAUACGUAGGGUGCAAGCGUUAAUCGGAAUUACUGGGCGUAAAGCGUGCGCAGGCGGUUGUGCAAGUCUGAUGUGAAAGCCCCGGGCUUAACCUGGGAACGGCAUUGGAGACUGCACGACUAGAGUGCGUCAGAGGGGGGUAGAAUUCCGCGUGUAGCAGUGAAAUGCGUAGAGAUGCGGAGGAAUACCGAUGGCGAAGGCAGCCCCCUGGGAUGACACUGACGCUCAUGCACGAAAGCGUGGGGGAGCAAACAGGAUUAGAUACCCUGGUAGUCCACGCCCUAAACGAUGUCAACUAGCUGUUUGGGGGUUUUGAAUCCUUGGUAGCGAAACCUAACGCGAGA